AUGCAGUCGAACGAUUAAACUUUCCUUCGGGAAAGAUAUAAAGUGGCGCACGGGUGAGUAACACGUAGGUAAUCUACCUUUGAGUGGGGAAUAACAGUCGGAAACGACUGCUAAUACCGCAUAAUGCAGCGGCACCUUAUGGUGACAGUUGUUAAAGGAGCAAUCCGCUUAAAGAGGAGCCUGCGGCAGAUUAGCUAGUUGGUAAGGUAAUGGCUUACCAAGGCUACGAUCUGUAACCGACCUGAGAGGGUGGUCGGUCACACUGACACUGAAUAACGGGUCAGACUCCUACGGGAGGCAGCAGUCGGGAAUUUUGGGCAAUGGGCGAAAGCCUGAUCCAGCAACGCCGCGUGAAGGAUGAAGUCUUUCGGGAUGUAAACUUCGUAAGAAUAGGAAGAAUAAAUGACGGUACUAUUUGUAAGGUCCGGCUAACUACGUGCCAGCAGCCGCGGUAAUACGUAGGGACCAAGCGUUGUUCGGAUUUACUGGGCGUAAAGGGCGCGUAGCGGCGUGACAAGUCACUUGUGAAAUCUCCGAGCUUAACUCGGAACGGUCAAGUGAUACUGUUGUGCUAGAGUACAGAAGGGCAAUCGGAAUUCUUGGUGUAGCNGUGAAAUGCGUANAUAUCAG
rnacentral:rRNA from 1 species